UCAGUCAGUUUCAUGGAUGUGAAUUCAGAAUUAGUUGGAAAAAGUAAUAGAAAUACCUAGGAGCAUCAGAUUGUUAAGAAGUAUGAGAAUAUCUUUACUAAGUUUUGUACUCAUGUUCAUUGCGAUGCAAACAGGGAUCUGUGCAAUCCUGAUCCUAAUGAUGUGACUGGUGAAGGCCGAUAUCGAAUCGCUUGUCCAUGUGCUGAAGGCCUUCGUUGUCAGAAUGCUCAAAAUACAGGUCGAGAAGACAAAGGACGUAGUACUUUUGAAUGCCAACCAUAAGAAGAUUCUACUGGAGUUCCAUUGUAAAAGAUUAAAAUAAAAUGCUAAAAAAUUACAAUAACGAUUGUUUUAAAAUAAGUAAUCUUGAAUUACCAGAAAAAGGAAAUUAAUAUUAUUGUCUUUUAAAUAUUAAUAAUUUAUAACAAAAACAUUAACUGCUAUAAAUGUUAAUAGUUUCCAAAAACAAAUUUACGGUUGUUAAAUAAAAAGCUUCAAAACUUACUGGCAGAUUUUA